rnacentral:tRNA from 1 species
ACCCGGCUGGCUCAGUCAGUAGAGCAUGUGACUCUUGAUCCCAAGGUCAUGAGUUCAAGCCCCAUGUUGGGUG